UCUGGGACAAGCCCUGGAAACGGGGUCUAAUACCGGAUGAUAUCCCCUCUCGCAUGGGAGGGGGUUGAAAGCUCCGGCGGUGCAGGAUGAGCCCGCGGCCUAUCAGCUAGUUGGUGAGGUAGAAGCUCACCAAGGCGACGACGGGUAGCCGGCCUGAGAGGGCGACCGGCCACACUGGGACUGAGACACGGCCCAGACUCCUACGGGAGGCAGCAGUGGGGAAUAUUGCACAAUGGGCGAAAGCCUGAUGCAGCGACGCCGCGUGAGGGAUGACGGCCUUCGGGUUGUAAACCUCUUUCAGCAGGGAAGAAGCGAAAGUGACGGUACCUGCAGAAGAAGCGCCGGCUAACUACGUGCCAGCAGCCGCGGUAAUACGUAGGGCGCAAGCGUUGUCCGGAAUUAUUGGGCGUAAAGAGCUCGUAGGCGGCUUGUCACGUCGGUUGUGAAAGCCCGGGGCUUAACCCCGGGUCUGCAGUCGAUACGGGCAGGCUAGAGUGUGGUAGGGGAGAUCGGAAUUCCUGGUGUAGCGGUGAAAUGCGCAGAUAUCAGGAGGAACACCGGUGGCGAAGGCGGAUCUCUGGGCCAUUACUGACGCUGAGGAGCGAAAGCGUGGGGAGCGAACAGGAUUAGAUACCCUGGUAGUCCACGCCGUAAACGGUGGGAACUAGGUGUUGGCGACAUUCCACGUCGUCGGUGCCGCAGCUAACGCAUUAAGUUCCCCGCCUGG
rnacentral:rRNA from 1 species